GCGAGAGUGGCGGAAUCGGCAGACGCGCACGUUUGAGGGGCGUGUGAGCAAUCGUACGGGUUCAAGUCCCGUCUCUCGCACCA
rnacentral:tRNA from 1 species